UACGGAGGGAGCUAGCGUUGUUCGGAUAUACUGGGCGUAAAGCGCACGUAGGCGGCGCAGUAAGUCAGGGUGAAAUCCCGGGCUCAACCCCGGAACUGCCCUUGAAACUGCAGUGCUAGAAUCUUGGAGAGGCGAGUGGAAUUCCGAGUGUAGAGGUGAAAUUCGUAGAUAUUCGGAAGAACACCAGUGGCGAAGGCGACUCGCUGGACAAGUAUUGACGCUGAGGUGCGAAAGCGUGGGAGCAAACAGG
rnacentral:rRNA from 1 species